UACGUAGGAUCCGAGCGUUGUCCGGAAUCACUGGGUGUAAAGGGAGCGCAGGCGGGUUAUAAGUCGAUGGUGAAAUCUUACAGCUUAACUGUAAAACUGCCGUCGAUACUGUAAAUCUUGAAUAUGGAAGAGGGCGAUGGAAUUCAUGGUGUAGCGGUGAAAUGCGUAGAUAUCAUGAAGAACACCGGUUGCGAAGGCGGUCGCCUGGUCCAUUAUUGACGCUCAUGCUCGAAAGUGUGGGGAGCAAACAGG
rnacentral:rRNA from 1 species